rnacentral:rRNA from 1 species
UCUCACACUGAGCCGCUCGUUUUACAGCCUAAUACAUGCAAGUCGAGCGGUCCCUUCGGGGAUAGCGGCGGACGGGUGAGUAACACGUAGGCAACCUGCCUGUAAGACUGGGAUAACUAUCGGAAACGAUAGCUAAGACCGGAUAGCUGGUUCUCUCGCAUGAGAGGAUCAUGAAACACGGAGUAAUCUGUGGCUUACAGAUGGGCCUGCGGCGCAUUAGCUAGUUGGUAGGGUAACGGCCUACCAAGGCGACGAUGCGUAGCCGACCUGAGAGGGUGAUCGGCCACACUGGGACUGAGACACGGCCCAGACUCCUACGGGAGGCAGCAGUAGGGAAUCUUCCGCAAUGGACGCAAGUCUGACGGAGCAACGCCGCGUGAGUGAUGAAGGUUUUCGGAUCGUAAAGCUCUGUUGCCAGGGAAGAACGCUUGGGAGAGUAACUGCUCUCAAGGUGACGGUACCUGAGAAGAAAGCCCCGGCUAACUACGUGCCAGCAGCCGCGGUAAUACGUAGGGGGCAAGCGUUGUCCGGAAUUAUUGGGCGUAAAGCGCGCGCAGGCGGUCACUUUAAGUUAGGAUGUUUAAAGCCCNGGGCUCAA